UACAGGGGGGGCAAGCGUUGUUCGGAAUUACUGGGCGUAAAGGGCCAGUAGGCGGCCGACUAAGUCCGACGUGAAAUCCCCAGGCUUAACCUGGGAACUGCGUCGGAUACUGGUUGGCUUGAAUUCGGGAGAGGGAUGCAGAAUUCCAGGUGUAGCGGUGAAAUGCGUAGAUAUCAGGAAGAACACCCGUGGCGAAAGCGGCUCUCUGGAACGGUACUGACGCUGAGACGCGAAAGCGUGGGGAGCGAACAGG
rnacentral:rRNA from 1 species